rnacentral:rRNA from 1 species
GACGAAGGGGGCUAGCGUUGUUCGGAAUUACUGGGCGUAAAGCGCGUGUAGGCGGUUAUCCAAGUCAGGGGUGAAAGCCUUGAGCUCAACUCAAGAAAUGCACUUGGUACUGGGUGACUAGAGGACCGGAGAGGAUAGUGGAAUUCCCAGUGUAGUGGUGAAAUACGUAGAGAUUGGGAAGAACACCAGUGGCGAAGGCGGCUAUCUGGACGGUUUCUGACGCUAAGACGCGAAAGCGUGGGGAGCAAACAGG